rnacentral:rRNA from 1 species
UGGGGAAUAUUGGACAAUGGGGGAAACCCUGAUCCAGCGACGCCGCGUGAGUGAAGAAGUAUUUCGGUACGUAAAGCUCUAUCAGCAGGAAAGAAAAUGACGGUACCUGACUAAGAAGCCCCGGCUAACUACGUGCC